GUAGUCGUAUUUGUAUCAAUCCACAUAUGUUGGGGUGGAUUGGAAUGAAACUUGAACUAAAUUCCACCUCAAUCCACCCCAACAUAUGUGGAUUGAGAUGAAUCCGACA
rfam:Sorghum bicolor cultivar BTx623 chromosome 10, whole genome shotgun sequence.